UCCCUCAAGCUGGAUUUGAACCAGCAACCUAAGGAUUAACAUUGAUAAAUCUACAGUCCUCCGCUCUGCCAAAAUAGCUAUUGAGGG
rnacentral:tRNA from 1 species